rnacentral:lncRNA from 1 species
UCAGCUGAGCUUAUAUUAUUCCUGCAGGAAGAUGACAAGUAUGAAUACUCAGAGACAACCAAGAUUCAGAGUUUGGUGAAAUAUUAUUCACAGUUUGUUUCAUUCCCCAUUUACACAUGGCCGAGAAGUCGAGGAAAUUUGAGGUGAGAUUUUUAUUUAAUCUACAACAAAAUCAAAUUGGGAUUUAUUCUCAAGAAAGUUGGUGUCCUUACUAGACUCCUUUUUUCCCUGUCUAUUUUCAUUGCAACACCUGCUAGAAUAUCCAACCUAACUAAGUCCGUGGCAACAAAGAUAUUGAAUGAGUAUUUUACAUUUAAAUUUAAAAAUUAUGUUUAUUGCAAGUUUUUGAUGGAAUCAUGG